AGUUGCAUCUUUUUCAACAUGUCCUCUAGUAGAGGAAGUUUGGAUUUUUUUGAGCAUCUACUGGAUAUUCCCAACACACGUCAUGCUGAUAUUCUAGUCCGGCUACAGGGCUUUUGGGUUAAUGCUUCGAGUUCUUCUGCGGCUAGUUAUCUCCUACAAUUUUUGUCAUCGAUUGUUUGUUGGGGAAUCUGGAAGGCACGGAAUCUUCAAUUUUUUGAAGGUGUUAUCAUCCCAGCUACUCUCCUCUAUCUCAUAUUCUCGCUGAAAUUCAAACCUUCUUGAAAGUUUGGCCUUUGUCCCAUACGAAGGAAUCUGAUGCGAAGCAUCUUGCGAUGGGUA
rnacentral:lncRNA from 1 species